CACAAUGUCAAAUAAACCGAUCACAUUUUGUUGAAAUGACCCAAAAUUCCUUCAACGUGAUCCUGAAGAAUCCGUGACCACCUUAUGGACAAAGUAUGCAAAGAACGAACCAAAAUCUAAGACAAAAGAUCGACAGUCUGCGUAAUGCACAUUUGAAGGGUAUAAAUACUCAGCCUGGGGGAAGAACUAUAAUGACAUGAAGAAGGUCGUAGGAAGCCAACACAGGGAAGAUGCUCCCACUGACUUGAUGACACAUUUUCAGAGGGUGGGUGGGAAAGGAUUACUUAAAGAUAUGGAUAGUUCUCAUUGCGAGACUGUACGAAUCACGAGUGCUAAUCCAUCCCAAUAAUGAGAGCUUUCUAAUAGCCUAACGGAAACAAACUGGUAACGGUGAUAACAAAUGACAGGGUGGAGAAUAAAAAGCUGCUCGUUUUUUUCGUGAUAUAUGAAUCAAGAACUGUGGAAAUGUUGCAAACUCUGAAUGACCUCAGAUCACAGAAGUGAUACUGUAACACAUAAAAGCGAUAAAAGAUACAUUUCAAAUAAAA